rnacentral:rRNA from 1 species
UACGUAGGGAGCAAGCGUUGUCCGGAAUUAUUGGGCGUAAAGCGCGCGUAGGCGGCUUCAUAAGUCCGCUGUGAAAGUCAAAGGCUCAACCUUUGAAAGCCGGUGGAUACUGUGAGGCUAGAGUACGGAAGAGGCGAGUGGAAUUCCUGGUGUAGCGGUGGAAUGCGCAGAUAUCAGGAGGAACACCAAUAGCGAAGGCAGCUCGCUGGGACGUUACUGACACUGAGGCGCGAAAGCGUGGGGAGCGAACAGG